CAUGCAGUUCGAACGGCAGCACGGGCUUCGGCCUGGUGGCGAGUGGCGAACGGGUGAGUAAUACAUCGGAACGUGCCCUGUAGUGGGGGAUAACUAGUCGAAAGAUUAGCUAAUACCGCAUACGACCUGAGGGUGAAAGCGGGGGACCGCAAGGCCUCGCGCUACAGGAGCGGCCGAUGUCUGAUUAGCUAGUUGGUGGGGUAAAAGCCUACCAAGGCGACGAUCAGUAGCUGGUCUGAGAGGACGAUCAGCCACACUGGGACUGAGACACGGCCCAGACUCCUACGGGAGGCAGCAGUGGGGAAUUUUGGACAAUGGGGGCAACCCUGAUCCAGCAAUGCCGCGUGUGUGAAGAAGGCCUUCGGGUUGUAAAGCACUUUUGUCCGGAAAGAAAUGGCCUGGGUGAAUACCCCGGGUCGAUGACGGUACCGGAAGAAUAAGCACCGGCUAACUACGUGCCAGCAGCCGCGGUAAUACGUAGGGUGCGAGCGUUAAUCGGAAUUACUGGGCGUAAAGCGUGCGCAGGCGGUUUUGUAAGACAGGCGUGAAAUCCCCGAGCUUAACUUGGGAAUGGCGCUUGUGACUGCAAGGCUAGAGUAUGUCAGAGGGGGGUAGAAUUCCACGUGUAGCAGUGAAAUGCGUAGAGAUGUGGAGGAAUACCGAUGGCGAAGGCAGCCCCCUGGGACGUCACUGACGCUCAUGCACGAAAGCGUGGGGGGCAAACAGGAUUAGAUACCCUGGUAGUCCACGCCCUAAAACGAUGUCAACUAGUUGUUGGGGAUUCAUUUCUUCAGUAACGUAGCUAACGCGUGAAAUUGACCGCCUGGGGAGUACGGUCGCAAGAUUAAAACUCAAAGGAAUUGACGGGGACCCCCACAACGGUGAUGAUGUGGAUUAAUUCGAUCCAACCGAAAAAACCUUACCUCCCCUUGACAUGCCCCUAACAAACCAAAGAUGCCUUAGGUGCCCCAAAAGGGAAAGUGACACAGGUGCUGCUGGCUUUC
rnacentral:rRNA from 1 species